rnacentral:tRNA from 1 species
GGGCAAGUGUCUGAGUGGCCGAAGGUGCUUCGUUGGAAGCGAAGUUUAGUGAAAACUAACGGAGGUUCGAAUCCUCUCUUGCCCGCCA